CGGCACAUAAGACAUGCAAGUCGAACGGAAGUCGUUGUAAUGAUGUUGACAUGAACAGAGAACUUGUCGAAGGAAUUGAAGAUUGACUUACAACAAUGGCUUAGUGGCGGACUGGUGAGUAACACGUAAGCAACCUGCCUAUUAGAGGGGAAUAACAGCGAGAAAUCGUUGCUAAUACCGCAUAUGCCAUAAGAAUCGCAUGAUUCAAGUGGGAAAGGAGCAAUCCGCUAAUAGAUGGGCUUGCGUCUGAUUAGUUAGUUGGUGGGGUAACGGCCUACCAAGACGACGAUCAGUAGCCGGACUGAGAGGUUCAACGGCCACAUUGGGACUGAGAUACGGCCCAGACUCCUACGGGAGGCAGCAGUCGGGAAUAUUGCGCAAUGGAGGAAACUCUGAACCGCAGUGACGCCGCGUAUAGGAAGAAGGUUUUCGGAUUGUAAACUAUUGUCGAUGGGGAAGAAAGAAGACGGUACCCAUCAAGAAAGCUCCGGCUAACUACGUGCCAGCAGCAGC
rnacentral:rRNA from 1 species